rnacentral:rRNA from 1 species
GAACUAGCCUGUACUCCGAAUGCUCUAGAUUAAAGUUGAUCAUGGCUCAGACUUGAACGCUNGCGGCAGGCCUAACACAUGCAAGUCGAGCGGAUGAUGGGAGCUUGCUCCCGGAUUCAGCGGCGGACGGGUGAGUAAUGCCUAGGAAUCUGCCUGGUAGUGGGGGACAACGUUUCGAAAGGAACGCUAAUACCGCAUACGUCCUACGGGAGAAAGCAGGGGACCUUCGGGCCUUGCGCUAUCAGAUGAGCCUAGGUCGGAUUAGCUAGUUGGUGGGGUAAAGGCCUACCAAGGCGACGAUCCGUAACUGGUCUGAGAGGAUGAUCAGUCACACUGGAACUGAGACACGGUCCAGACUCCUACGGGAGGCAGCAGU